rnacentral:rRNA from 1 species
UACGGAGGGGGCGAGCGUUAUUCGGAAUUAUUGGGCGUAAAGGGCGCGUAGGUGGCUUGGUAAGUCAAAGGUGAAAUCCCUCGGCUCAACUGAGGAAUUGCCUUUGAAACUGCCUGCUUGAGGCCGGGAGGGGUAGCGGAAUUCCACGUGUAGCGGUGAAAUGCGUAGAUAUUGGGGAAGAACACCGGUGGCGAAGGCGGCCAUCUGGACCGUUUCUGACGCUGAGGCGCGAAAGCGUGGGGAGCAAACAGG